rnacentral:rRNA from 1 species
CAGGCCUAACACAUGCAAGUCGAGGGGUAUAAGUCUUCGGAUUUAGAGACCGGCGCACGGGUGCGUAACGCGUAUGCAAUCUGCCUUCCACAGAGGGAUAGCCCAGAGAAAUUUGGAUUAAUACCUCAUAGUAUUAUGGGAGGGCAUCCUUUUAUAAUUAAAGUCACAACGGUGAAAGAUGAGCAUGCGUCCCAUUAGUUAGUUGGUAAGGUAACGGCUUACCAAGACAUCGAUGGGUAGGGGUCCUGAGAGGGAGAUCCCCCACACUGGUACUGAGACACGGACCAGACUCCUACGGGAGGCAGCAGUGAGGAAUAUUGGUCAAUGGGCGCAAGCCUGAACCAGCCAUGCCGCGUGCAGGAUGACGGUCCUAUGGAUUGUAAACUGCUUUUGUACGAGAAGAAACACUGCUUCGUGAAGCAGCUUGACGGUAUCGUAAGAAUAAGGAUCGGCUAACUCCGUGCCAGCAGCCGCGGUAAU